UACGUAGGGCGCGAGCGUUGUCCGGAAUUAUUGGGCGUAAAGAGCUUGUAGGCGGUUUGUCGCGUCUGCUGUGAAAGGCCGGAGCUUAACUCCGUGUAUUGCAGUGGGUACGGGCAGACUAGAGUGCAGUAGGGGAGACUGGAAUUCCUGGUGUAGCGGUGGAAUGCGCAGAUAUCAGGAGGAACACCGAUGGCGAAGGCAGGUCUCUGGGCUGUAACUGACGCUGAGAAGCGAAAGCAUGGGGAGCGAACAGG
rnacentral:rRNA from 1 species